rnacentral:rRNA from 1 species
AUUGAACGCUGGCGGCAGGCCUAACACAUGCAAGUCGAACGAGUGGCGGACGUGUGAGUAAUGUCUGGGACACUGCCUGAUGGAGGGGGAUAACUACUGGAACCGGUAGCUAAUCCCGCAUACCAUCGGAUGUGCCCCGAGGGGAUUAGCUAGUAGGUGGGGUAAAGGCUCACCUAGGCGACGAUCCCUAGCUGGGCUGAGAGGAUGAACAGGCAGACUGGAACUGAGAGACGGUCCAGACUCCUACGGGAGGCAGCAGUGGGGAAUAGUGGAGAAGGGGCGCAAGACUGAUGCAGCCAUGCCGCGUGUAUGAAGAAGGCCUUCGGGUUGUAAAGUACUUUAAGCGGGGAGGCGUUACCCGCAGAAGAAGCACCGGCUAACUCCGUGCCAGCAGCCGCGGUAAUAC